CCGCGCUGUCCUGGGCCCCCGCCCCCCCGAGUCUGCUCCAAACAUGGAAAGAAAGAAAGAACCCCCCAGUUUCCUUACUCGCCCACUGUUCUAGCUGAGUCUCUUGCCUCCUUAGCCUGUUUUUGUUGUUUUGGUUCAAAGUUGAGUGGAGCGGCCGCGGGAUGGGAUUGGGACCUGUUCACCAGAGCCAGAUUGGAAGCUUUCAGGAAGAGGCUGAACACCCUUUAGAGGGUUUUAAACUAUUUAAAUCAUCAUGGUGCCACAGGGCAAUCCCAUGAUAUCCAUGAUAUCCAUGAUCCAUCUCACAGAAGGGAUGAGCAGGGGCAGCCUGGCAGUGCCACGCUGGGACAGGGGAUGAGUUCCCUGCUCUGCCCGGGCUUCACGAAGCACCUGAAGGGAGCAAACCCCAGUUCCCACAUCCUGGGGCCGGGACUAAAUGGGAUUAUCUCUCCCCUGUCACGGCUAAAGGGAAGCAGUACCUUAACGCACUCCCAGUAUGGCCAGAGGUCUCUAAAAAGGACCGGCACUUUGAGGAAAAUCGCCUCCAGGCAUUCCCUGGGUUUUGUAAGUUCAGGGUUUAAGGCCGUGGCCAUUAUCUGGUCGCAGCUCCCUUGUAAAAGCCAUAAAAGACAAAAAAAGCCUUGAGCAUUUGAUUUGCAGAAGCUCCUGGUGCCUUAAAGGCCUUCCAAAGACGAGGUUGCCACAUCCUUGGCUCGGUUGUUCCCACAAUUAACAGGACUAAGUGUCCAAAGUGGCUGCUUUGUUCCAGGCUAAAGUUACAGAGGUGAAAAACACGGAUAUGGUAGGGGGAAAGGAAAAGGAUGAUUUCAGCCCAGAGAAUCCCUCCAAGCACCAAGUUCACACCUCCCACACACGCCUGAACAUCGCAGGUGACCCAGCGGGCGUCCCUAAAGGCACCUUAGCACCCCAAAACCUCGCCCGCGUUUUCCCGAGGGAAAUGAGGACGAUCCAUGGGUUCUGUUGUCCUUCAUUCCACCGGAGUCUGUCUCGUACCUAACCAGAUUUCAGUGGAGUGAAGCACAAGAGACAUGGAGCUGAACCGGCACCAGAGGAGCUGCUUCCCACUGCCAGAGCUGGGGAACCACGUGGAAAUUUGGAUACACCAGGCAGAGACCACACUGCUGGGAACUGGAGAGGAGCAGCACGAGGAGCUCUUUAAUAACCUGAAUAUUUCCUGAAAAUCCCCAGUAAGAACCCUCUGUGAGCAUGUACUUCCUUUCUGCAUAAUGUGUAAAGAUUAAAAGUCUACAAAGACCACAAGCUGCUUUCUGGAAGGUUUAAAUACCUUGUUACCAGGAAAUUAAACCCUAAAGUGGAUAAACGA